CAAUGGGCGAAAGCCUGAUCCAGCAAUGCCGCGUGCAGGAUGAAGGCCCUCGGGUUGUAAACUGCUUUUGUACGGAACGAAAAGCCUGGGGCUAAUAUCCCCGGGUCAUGACGGUACCGUAAGAAUAAGCACCGGCUAACUACGUGCCAGCAGCCGCGGUAAUACGUAGGGUGCAAGCGUUAAUCGGAAUUACUGGGCGUAAAGCGUGCGCAGGCGGUUUUGUAAGACAGGCGUGAAAUCCCCGGGCUCAACCUGGGAAUGGCGCUUGUGACUGCAAGGCUAGAGUAUGUCAGAGGGGGGUAGAAUUCCACGUGUAGCAGUGAAAUGCGUAGAGAUGUGGAGGAAUACCGAUGGCGAAGGCAGCCCCCUGGGACGUCACUGACGCUCAUGCACGAAAGCGUGGGGAGCAAACAGGAUUAGAUACCCUGGUAGUCCACGCCCUAAACGAUGUCAACUAGUUGUUGGGGAUUCAUUUCUUCAGUAACGUAGCUAACGCGUGAAGUUGACCGCCUG
rnacentral:rRNA from 1 species